UUUCUUUUGUUUAUAUAAUAGGUAUAACCUGCCCAAUGAAACUUUAAUGGCCGCGGUAUACUGACCGUGCAAAGGUAGCAUAAUCAUUAGUCUUUUAAUUGAAGAAUGGAAUGAAAGGUUGAACGAAAAAUUGACUGUUUCUUUGUUAUUUUAUUUUGAAAUUGAUUAUUGAGUGAAAAGGCUUAAAUAUUGUUAUGGGACGAGAAGACCCUAUAGAGUUUAAUAUCUUACUGUUAGUUUUUGUUUAUUAUGUUAUUAAAUUUUAAUGUAUUUUAUUGGGGCGAUAUAAAGAUAAUAUUAACUCUUUUUUAUUUAUAAUAUUAAUUUAUAGAUUAUUGAUCCAGUACUAUUGAUUAUAAGACUAAAUUACCUUAGGGAUAACAGCGUUAUCCUCUUAGAGAGUUCUUAUCGAUAAGGGGGAUUGCGA
rnacentral:rRNA from 1 species